rnacentral:rRNA from 1 species
UACGGAGGGUGCAAGCGUUAUCCGGAUUCACUGGGUUUAAAGGGUGCGUAGGAGGGCAGGGAAGUCAGUGGUGAAAUCUCCGGGCUUAACUCGGAAACUGCCGUUGAUACUCUCUGUCUUGAAUCCCGUGGAGGUGAGCGGAAUAUGUCAUGAGCGGUGAAAUGCUUAGAUAAUGACAUAGAACACCGAUUGCGAAGGCAGCUCGCCUACACGAAGAUUGACU